GUAUUGUUCCUUAACUGAUCUGCAUUGAGGACGUCAUGUUUUUUUUUCUUCUUUGUGCGACUGCAAAGCUCGUGUUCGUUAUGUAACUGAAAGUUCAUGACGGUGGCCUGUCAGGUACGGUGUGGGCAAGAGGAUCAGGCUGCCCUACACCCGAAAGAUCGUCGACGCCAUCCACUCCGGCGAGCUCCUCACCGCCAACUACAAGAAGACCGAGGUCUUUGGGCUGGAGAUCCCCACCGAGAUCGACGGCGUGCCAUCGGAAAUCCUCGACCCGAUCAACACCGUAAGCCCUGUCACUAACCAGUUCGCGCCAUCAGUCAUCUUGAACUGCACAGCUUGUUCAGAACAGAACACUGACCAAUUUUUUGAACUUGACGAAUGGUAUGCGCAGUGGACGGACAAGGCCGCGUACAAGGAGACGCUCCUGAGGCUUGCCGGGCUCUUCAAGAACAACUUCGAGGUGUUCGCCAGCUACAAGAUCGGGGACGACAGCAGCCUGACCGACGAGAUCCUCGCCGCAGGCCCCAAUUUCUGAUGAUCCGGACCGGCGAAGCGAUGGACUGGGUUCAGAAUAAAACCGUGGUGCGUGCGUGCGUGCGUUACAAUGAUGAUGACGAAAAAAAGUGUUGGAUUGAUGUGCC
rnacentral:lncRNA from 1 species